CGGUUCGUCCCAGGAGCAAUUCU
rnacentral:miRNA from 1 species